GCCCAAUGGUGCUGUGAUAGGAAGGGCUCUGAGCUACUACAGAGAAUUCUUUCCUGGGUGCCUGGCUGGUGGGUGUUGCCCACAUGCUCUGGGUCUAACUG